rnacentral:sRNA from 1 species
GCAAUUCUCUUGCACAAUGCAUCACAGUUACUUAUUACUUCGGUUAACCUGCCCUUCAACUCACCAACUUCCACCUGCAGUGGACGGACUGCAAUCAAGGUUGUGAGAGGUUGAUCUCAUGGAAGUAACAGAAUAAUUGAACCGCUGGAGAAGCUUAAUGGACAAAGCAUCUGCUGUUUCUAUCUUGUUUUCUAUCUCUUCCUGCUUUCACUAAUUUUCUUGGCCUUCUCUUCUUGCCAUUCACGGUACAGAGAGAAAAGCUC